AGUUCGGCGCAGUGUGGCAGGCGAACUACAAUUCCCAAGAUGGCACUGGAGAAGAGGGCGCGGCACUGGCCGUGGCCUUCGCGGCCUCCGAGAUGGUUAGUGGGUUGGUGCAUAUGUGGAGAUUCAGUUUUUUAAACACAUCCGGUAAAGAAACUGCUAGAUACCUGCUCCCCCCCGCCCUCGUGUUGCCCCCCCGCCUUUCUGGGGCCAUCUUUUUUGCGGCCUGGCGGCCUGACACUAGGAACUCUGGGAGUUGUAGUUUAAAAGCAGAGCGAGGCUGACACCUGAAGGACGCGGCUUAACCGCUUUAGCCCCAAGCUGGAACUGCUGGGCCUCCCGAUGUCCCCCGAGCCCGAGGUGGAGGAAGAGAGGGCGAUGGGGACGUGGUGCUGGAAGUUGCUUCGGGCCACGCGGGAUCGUCAGCUCUGAUAGAAAGAGAGCGGGAGCCUUUCCGCCCUCGAAAGCAGCUUCGGCUGGGGAAGAUGAGAGCCGGCUCCGGGGACAGCUGUGGGCCCCGCGCUUCGUGAACGCCUCGGAGACAACCAGUGCAAGCCCUUGGUCUCUGCCCUGCCUUACAUCUUGCUCUUCUCACUCUAACAUAAAGAGUGAAUGGAGACAGAACAAAGAUAUUCAUCUCCACAUGAAAUGAAUAAGAUGAGGAGGAAUAGAGAAAUAAUAAAGAACAUUGGCAAGGGAAGAUGCAACCCCAAGGUGUAAUAAUAGAUUCAGAAAAUGCCUAGAGCUGCUCAGAUGAGUUUAAGACCCCCGCUUUGAGGAGUAAUCACUUGAGGGUCCUGAGAUCACCAAACAAUUCACUGAUGUUUGGAGUAUUACUGAGAAUAGGAAAGGUACCAGAAGACAGGAAAUUCUGGGAUAUUCUGAUUUUUAGAAUCAGAAAGAAGGUAAAGCCAGAAAAAUUGUAAAUAGUUGCCUAUAAUCUCAAUCUGAGGCAGGACCACAGAAUGGGUCACUAGAGGAAUAGUUUCAGGCACUAGGUGAAUAAGAAUGAGACCUAGGCGAGUUUACUAAAAUCCAGACAAACCUGAUUUACUCCUCUCCUGUUUCACAGGGCUGCAAACUCAGAGAAUGACCACACAUCUUUGUCAUCAGUUAAACAUUUAAUAAAAUUUUUCAUGAUAUUCUUUAGGGCCAGAUGGAGAACUAGGAUCUAGAUUCUACCCCCCUUGCAUGAAUCAGUAAGCAGUAGAUUAUAUACACAGGUGCUGUCCAACAAGCUGACAAACAAUGAAGAAUUAUAUAGGGAUAAGGCUCAAGGCUUUGCCCUUUGUGUGCCCCCUCAUAAAUGCCUUAUGAAUAAAUGUACACAAGGUGUACUCAUCAAAUUUACAGGUAGCUAGAAGUUGGAAGAAAGACAGAAUGAAAAUCAGUGGGUUGAAUCUAAAAGGAUGAAAUUUAAUUGAUUUGAUUAAUUGGGGGGGUGUCUAAGAAUUGAAAUAUAUCCAUAAUAUGUAUUUCAUUAAGAAUCAGUUGUACUUGUUUUAGCAGUAGCUAAAGCCUUCAAGUCAGUAGCUAAGGAUUCAGAAGUAUAAUGUAGUUGCCUAAAAACUCCCCAAGAGGGGCUGGGAACAUGGCCUAGUAGUAGAGUACUUGCCUCCCAU